rnacentral:rRNA from 1 species
UUGAACGCUGGCGGCAGGCUUAACACAUGCAAGUCGAGCGGGGAAAGGUAGCUUGCUACCUGACCUAGCGGCGGACGGGUGAGUAAUGCUUAGGAAUCUGCCUAUUAGUGGGGGACAACAUCUCGAAAGGGAUGCUAAUACCGCAUACGUCCUACGGGAGAAAGCAGGGGACCUUCGGGCCUUGCGCUAAUAGAUGAGCCUAAGUCGGAUUAGCUAGUUGGUGGGGUAAAGGCCUACCAAGGCGACGAUCUGUAGCGGGUCUGAGAGGAUGAUCCGCCACACUGGGACUGAGACACGGCCCAGACUCCUACGGGAGGCAGCAGUGGGGAAUAUUGGACAAUGGGGGGAACCCUGAUCCAGCCAUGCCGCGUGUGUGAAGAAGGCCUUUUGGUUGUAAAGCACUUUAAGCGAGGAGGAGGCUACCGAGAUUAAUACUCUUGGAUAGUGGACGUUACUCGCAGAAUAAGCACCGGC